rnacentral:rRNA from 1 species
CAACUUUCAGCAGACGGAUCUGCUUGGCUCUCGCAUCGAUGAAGAACGCAGCGAAAUGCGAGUAAGUAAUGUGAAUUGCAGAAUUCAGUGAAUCAUCGAAUCUUUGAACGCACCUUGCGCUCCUUGGUAUUCCGAGGAGCAUGCCUGUUUGAGUGUC